rnacentral:rRNA from 1 species
UACGAAGGGGGCUAGCGUUGUCCGGAAUUAUUGGGCGUAAAGAGCUCGUAGGCGGCUUGUCACGUCGGGUGUGAAAGCCCGGGGCUUAACCCCGGGUCUGCAUUCGAUACGGGCUAGCUAGAGUGUGGUAGGGGAGAUCGAAUUCCUGGUGUAGCGGUGAAAUGCGCAGAUAUCAGGAGGAACACCGGUGGCGAAGGCGGAUCUCUGGGCCAUUACUGACGCUGAGGAGCGAAAGCGUGGGGAGCGAACAGG